AUAUAUACCUGGCAGGAGAGAUACCACGAUCAUGAAGAUGGUUUUCCUUGGGUGGGGCUUGUUCACUGCACUCUGGAUGUGCUGACCUCUGAGAUUUUCCCAAAUGUGGGAAACUCUACUGCAUAACUUGUGGUAGUGGAGAUAGAAUUGCACCCUUCC
rnacentral:snRNA from 1 species